CUAGACACAAAAAGGUGCAGAAGAAUCUAUCAGCUCCGGCAGCGAUUGCUUGUGUCUUACAGUACUCCAUCACGAUAGGGAUUUAAUCGCUUUGAUGGUCGGUUUUGUUUGCUAACUUUCUUUAGAGCCUUCAGCUUUUUUGGGUCAGACGCGAUUCCAGCCACACGUUCUGGUUCUUCUUUACCCUCCUUUCCUUAACUCCCUACUAGGUGUGCAAUACAUAUACUAUGUAAAUUGCAGGAUGAGAUGAAUGAACCAAUCACUUCAGGAGGUGUUCGCUGAGAGCCACUAUGUAUGAAUGCUACGAGCUGGGAUUAUGAAGGGUUAACAGAAGCAACUGUGCCCGGAUGGUUGUGCAGUUAAAACUCUCUGCCUGUUGUCUUUCUACUCAGAAGGCAGUUUGGCGAGACUUUCUGUCUAGCAUGCCCACUUCCUUCUUGCACCUUAGACUGCUCCAGUGCCUCCUUGGAAUGAGCGUUUCCUGUGUAGGAGUCUAAAGCCAGCCUGACAGUUCCCCCGGGGUAAGUGAUCUGAUGGCUUAGGAGAUCUCCAGAGGAUUUUCUUCGUGGUCAGGAGCUGCAAUAGGUAUAAAAUGUCUGACCUGUAGCAUGUCCCUUCAGUGAAGAUAUGUAACAUUUUUUUUAAUUGAGGGUUUUUUUUCUAUUAUAUUUUUGUUUGUUUCAUGAUUUUGGACAUUUUUCUUCGGGGCAUCAUUAAAAGUUCCAUAUAAAGGCUUUUUUAAAAAAGGCUUCUCCCUGCUUGGUGUGACGAUUGCAUCCAAGAGCUAUGGAGGAAGCAGCAGCCCCAGCCAUGUGGUGGCUUCCUUCCCAGGGUCCGAUGCUGGCUCUACUGUGGCUUUCUAUGCUGCACUAGGCUUCCUGCCCCUUCUGGAUGGAUUAUGUGUGCAGGCUGGAACACAACCCCUAGCAAGCUUAUGUCAUACAAAGUAUACCUGUUCUCUGUGGUGGCUACAAGGUCCACUUUAUGGCAAUCUUCUUCACUGUGGUGCUAACCAGAAAGAGUCUGGUGAAGCCUUCAGUUUGUUGUUGAGGAGAGAGCUGGAUGUCACGGUGGGACUCUGAGAGUCCUGACAGCUUUCCCUGGCUGUCCUAGAACUAGCUCUAUAGACCAGGUUGGCCUCCAACUCACAGAGAUCUACCUGCCUCUGCUCCCGGUGUGGUGGGAUUAAAGGCGUGUGCCAUCACCACCCGGCUGAGUCUUCAACUCUUCACCAUUGCAGAAACGUCCACAUAUAAAUUCCGAGGUUCUCCUCAUCAACCCACUCCAUAAAACCAUCAAAAGAAAUUCCGAUGCUCGGCGGGUCACUAAUCCAGUGUGUGUGUGCAGGGAGAGGCGUGGGCCGAUAUCUGCAGGCACUGUGGUCUUACUGUUGGCUCUGGAGACCAAGGGAGCGCGUGAGGGAAAUUUCACCGUCAAACCAGGACCUGCUCCUUUCCUCCAAAUUUUAUCCAAGCAUCUUUAUAUUUUGGCACUACUUUCCAUUUCUCGACAUUAAACCAACCGAGUGUUCCUACGCCUGCUAUCUGUGGGAGUUUCCAGUGUUUGAGUGGGAACUCCUAGAGUUCCAGAUAAUAAUAGAAUUGAGCCCUAUACCUCAAGAUGUCUCUUACCCUCAG
rnacentral:lncRNA from 1 species